CUCUGUGGCCUGGGAGACGUUUCCAAAACACAGCUCUGGCUUCUUGUGAGGACCAAAUGAACGCAUCUAUGGAGAGCUCUUAGCGCAGGGCCUGGCUAACGAUGUGGUCUUGGUGGGAGCUGAGCUGUGGCCCAGGAGCCCCUCCCUGGGCUGUGGGAGGGGAUGUGCAGAAGGAGGAGAGAAUGACACAUAUUUGGAACCCAGGCACGAACCAGGGAGGCUGGAAGUCCUCUCAAGGCUGGCGCGUAGCCUUUCCUGCACCACCACCAUCUCCUCCUCCCCAACAACACCCUCUCAAUCAAGUGCAUUUGCUCCUGCUCUACCACAGGCCUCUGCGCAGGCUGCUUCCCUUCCAGGACAGCUAAAGGGAAUCCCAAGGUGGUCCCUCCGGCACCACGGUUCUCCGAGUCCAGGUGAGUCAGAUCACUGGACACUUUCCUGAAGCCUGUUGAGAGCAUACCUGCUCCCAACACUGGGGGUGGGGCGUGGGAUAAACAGCCACAGCCCUGCCUCUCGGGGAGCCCAUGGCCUCUCACCCAGCAGAGUGCCCCUUUACUCUUUCUGUGGCUCUCCUGCAUCCCCUACCUUGCAAGUCAUGGGCAAGCAGAGCCCUUCUCCCACCAUGAAAACCUGACCUCACUUUCCCAGCCUCCUUUGCAGCUGUAGGGCAGGCAUAUGAUCUGGCUCAGCCAAUCAGAUGCACCCCCAGGAACUCUGAAUCUUAGCAGGUGAUACAAAGACACGGUGAUGGGAUGUAUCUGACAGAAUUGGCGGCAGCCGCCCCAGGAGGUUUCCAGGGCCAGAGGAGCCUCAGGGCCAGUUUCACUGUUGUCCUCCCUGCUCUAGCCCUGAGGUGUGAUUUGGCAGGGGUUCUGGCUGCUGUCCGGUCCUCCCUGGUUCCUGAGCUUAGCUCUCCAGCCAGCCCGAGGAGUCCGUGAGCUUUCUGUUGCUUUCAACGAAGAACCCUGACAAUAAACAGAGACAAGUCAGCAUCAUGGAGAUAGAGAGGAGCUGGGACCUGGAGCGUGGAUACAUAGGCAGUUGGCAGCAGUGAUUCUGUGAGGUGGGUGGCCACAGAGGACUCUAGUUUCCUUAUCUGGCUUGUGGAUGGGACACCCUGUCUAGGUGCUAGGUAGGGUAGCCCGACAGGAAGUGCUGUGUGUGAGGGAUAGAGGGAUGCGAGAGGAGAGAGCGUGGAGCCCGAGGAUGGGGCUGGGAGGAAGGAGAUGAGCUCAAGGAAGGAGUGGGGGUGGCUUUGUAGGAGGAAACAGCCAAGCUGGGUCACACGGUUCCAACUGCCCAAAAUAUUUUUUGACCCUUUUCUAUAUGCCAAGCAGUGUAUUGGUUAAUGAAACAGUCUGGGGGGUAGGCAUGUUAUCCUCAUUUUACGUAUAAAGGAAGGGUUACACAGAGAUGAAAGAGCUUGUACAAGAUCAGAAAUGCAGAAAGGGACAGAACUCACACCUGGGUCUAACUCCGACAUUGAUGCUCUUAAGAACCCAGACAGAUGCUCAGAUGAGAGACCAACGUCCCUGCCUCCAUCCCUGAGUUUUUAUUACUUCCUGUAAGUACUUCAAGUAAAAUAUACUCCCUGUAAGUACUUUGUGAGGCAAUUUAGUCGAGUCAUAGAAUCUGGGGCCUGGGUCACUUUGUCAAUACCAAUCCUCCCCUCCUCUUCCCCGAGCUGUAGAAAAACCGGGUU